UCGGGCGGUUCCUGUAGAGUAUCUGGUCAGUGUGCGGGCGGUUCCUAUAGAGUAUGUGGUCAGUGUUCGGGCGGUUCCUGUAGAGUAUCUGGUCAGUGUUCGGGCGGGUCCUGUAGAGUAUGUGGUCAGUGUU